AGUUAAUAUGUAUCUAACCAAUUAGAUAUUUGAAAUCAAAAAACCACGAGUUAUAUCAAAAUCAACAGAAUGGUCCUAGACGGAUUUCAAGGGAUGCCAAAGAAUCAUAUCUGUCAGAUGAACCUUUAAACCUCUAUAUCUUUUUAACACGACUUCCCAUUGAGCUAUCUUAUAAUAGACUCUUUUCAGCACAAUACGCAGAAAGAAGUUCUAUA